rnacentral:rRNA from 1 species
AGCAACGCCGCGUGAGUGAAGAAGGUUUUCGGAUCGUAAAGUUCUGUUGUAAGUCAAGAAAGGGUGUGAGAGUGGAAAGUUCACACUGUGACGGUAGCUUACCAGAAAGGGACGGCUAACUACGUGCCAGCAGCCGCGGUAAUACGUAGGUCCCGAGCGUUGUCCGGAUUUAUUGGGCGUAAAGCGAGCGCAGGCGGUUUGAUAAGUCUGAAGUUAAAGGCUGUGGCUCAACCAUAGUUCGCUUUGGAAACUGUCAAACUUGAGUGCAGAAGGGGAGAGUGGAAUUCCAUGUGUAGCGGUGAAAUGCGUAGAUAUAUGGAGGAACACCGGUGGCGAAAGCGGCUCUCUGGUCUGUAACUGACGCUGAGGCUCGAAAGCGUGGGGAGCGAACAGGAUUAGAUACCCUGGUAGUCCACGCCGUAAACGAUGAGUGCUAGGUGUUGGAUCCUUUCCGGGAUUCAGUGCCGCAGCUAACGCAUUAAGCACUCCGCCUGGGGAGUACGACCGCAAGGUUGAAACUCAAAGGAAUUGACGGGGGCCCGCACAAGCG